GACGAACGCUGGCGGCGCGCCUAACACAUGCAAGUCGAACGGAGCUGAGAGAAGCUUGCUUUUCUUAGCUUAGUGGCGAACGGGUGAGUAACGCGUGAGUAACCUGCCCUGGAGUGGGGGACAACAGUUGGAAACGACUGCUAAUACCGCAUAAGCCCACGAUCCGGCAUCGGAUUGAGGGAAAAGGAUUUAUUCGCUUCAGGAUGGACUCGCGUCCAAUUAGCUAGUUGGUGAGGUAACGGCCCACCAAGGCGACGAUUGGUAGCCGGACUGAGAGGUUGAACGGCCACAUUGGGACUGAGACACGGCCCAGACUCCUACGGGAGGCAGCAGUGGGGGAUAUUGCACAAUGGGGGAAACCCUGAUGCAGCGACGCCGCGUGGAGGAAGAAGGUUUUCGGAUUGUAAACUCCUGUCGUUAGGGACGAUAAUGACGGUACCUAACAAGAAAGCACCGGCUAACUACGUGCCAGCAGCCGCGGUAAAACGUAGGGUGCAAGCGUUGUCCGGAAUUACUGGGUGUAAAGGGAGCGCAGGCGGACCGGCAAGUUGGAAGUGAAAACUAUGGGCUCAACCCAUAAAUUGCUUUCAAAACUGCUGGCCUUGAGUAGUGCAGAGGUAGGUGGAAUUCCCGGUGUAGCGGUGGAAUGCGUAGAUAUCGGGAGGAACACCAGUGGCGAAGGCGACCUACUGGGCACCAACUGACGCUGAGGCUCGAAAGCAUGGGUAGCAAACAGGAUUAGAUACCCUGGUAGUCCAUGCCGUAAACGAUGAUUACUAGGUGUUGGAGGAUUGACCCCUUCAGUGCCGCAGUUAACACAAUAAGUAAUCCACCUGGGGAGUACGACCGCAAGGUUGAAACUCAAAGGAAUUGACGGGGGCCCGCACAAGCAGUGGAGUAUGUGGUUUAAUUCGAAGCAACGCGAAGAACCUUACCAGGUCUUGACAUCCGAUGCAUAGUGCAGAGAUGCAUGGAGUCCUUCGGGACAUCGAGACAGGUGGUGCAUGGUUGUCGUCAGCUCGUGUCGUGAGAUGUUGGGUUAAGUCCCGCAACGAGCGCAACCCUUAUUGCCAGUUACUACGAAAGAGGACUCUGGCGAGACUGCCGUUGACAAAACGGAGGAAGGUGGGGAUGACGUCAAAUCAUCAUGCCCUUUAUGACCUGGGCUACACACGUACUACAAAUGGCGUUUAACAAAGAGAAGCAAGACCGCGAGGUGGAGCAAAAACUCAAAAACAACGUCUCAGUUCAGAUUGCAGGCUGCAAACUCGCCUGCAUGAAGUUCGGAAUUGCUAGUAAUCGCGGAAUCAGCAUGCCGCGGUGAAUACGUUCCCGGGCCU
rnacentral:rRNA from 1 species